rnacentral:rRNA from 1 species
UUUGUAGAAGGUGCUUCGGGCGCGAUUCUGGUCCAAGUCCCUUGGAACAGGGCGUCCUAGAGGGUGAGAAUCCCGUACGUGGCCGAGGGUCAAGCCCGUGUGAAGCCCUUUCGACGAGUCGAGUUGUUUGGGAAUGCAGCUCUAAUUGGGUGGUAAAUUUCAUCUAAAGCUAAAUAUCUGCCGGAGACCGAUAGCGCACAAGUAGAGUGAUCGAAAGAUGAAAAGCACUUUGAAAAGAGAGUUAAACAGUACGUGAAAUUGUUGAAAGGGAAGCGCUUGCAACCAGACUCGCUCGCGGGUGCUCAACCGCCCUUUGGGGUGGUGCAUUCUCCCGUGAUCGGGCCAGCAUCGGUUUUGGCGGCUGGAUAAAAGCUCCGGGAACGUAGCUCUUCGGAGUGUUAUAGCCCGGGGUGUAAUGCGGCCAGCUGAGACCGAGGACUGCGCAUCUGCUAGGAUGCUGGCGUAAUGGUUGCCAGCGACCCGUCUUGAAACACGGA